GGCUCAGUAGCUUAGUUGGUAAAGCACACGUCUUGCAUACAAAAGUCGUGGGUUUGAGUCCCAUCUGAACAC
rfam:Aedes aegypti strain Liverpool supercont1.26 genomic scaffold, whole genome shotgun sequence.